UAGAGCAGUGUAAAGAACUUUUACUUAGUGAGGGCUAUUUCUAUGCCAAGUUUCAGUUCUACCCACAUCAAUCUUGGCUGCAGAGAUGCAUGAAAAAAAGUCUCCAGAUCUUUUUCUUAAUAAUGAGAAGCCUCUCUUCUACUUGAAAAACCUCAAUUAAAAAUAGCUGAAGAAUGGAAAAGGAAUAAGUGAAGAUCACCCCCUCCCCCUGCCUUUCUGUCAUGAACACACGGAAAAUCCUUUAUGCCAGCAACAAGGAGGCAUCUUGGACAGGAAGGAGCAAUAUUGAGUAGGAAUCAGGAUCACUGUCAUUGACACCUUCAGGCAACACCAGAGGUGAAGGCAUCAGCAAUAACACUACACUUCUGCAAGUCAUUUGGAAUUUGGAAUUCCUGUCAACAAGUACGACUGGCUCCCUUUAAGCACAACAUAAAGAGAUCAGCUUGCUCUUCUUUGGUACGUGCUGUGAUUCUCAGCGCUGUCAAGGCAUACCGAAGUAAAACAUGUUCACUCUGGCUGUACAGUCUUUUAAAUGUUUUUUGUAUCUUCCUCCAGCCUUAAGCUGAUGUGCUUUAUAAUCAGAAAGCCAGAAAGAUGCUUUAGGGAAACAACAUGGCUUCAUAUGUAUAGGUCUGUAAAAAUAUCCAGCUUUGAUUUACAAAUGGAUCAAAGGUGUGUAUGCUUUCCAUGCUUAAUACUCCCUGUGACCCUGUGAUAUCACUAGAACUUCUGGUUUUGCAGGAGCUCAGGACUAAGCUUCUGGUCAAACAUUCAUUGUCGGCCUGGUUCUGCUAUCUUUAACUCCCAGUGGGUCUACAUGAGAUGCUUACUGCUCAGUUGACUAAUUAGCUGUGCAGUAAACAUCUCAGAGUCUAC